rnacentral:tRNA from 1 species
GGAGAGAUACCCAAGUAGGCUGAAGGGGCGGGUUUGCUAAACCUGUAGUAGGGAAUACUCCCUAGCGAGGGUUCGAAUCCCUCUCUCUCCGCCA